ACAGGUGCUGCAUGGCUGUCGUCAGCUCGUGUCGUGAGAUGUGGGUUAAGUCCCGCAACGAGCGCAACCCUGCAUUCAGUUGCCAUCGGUAAGGCCGGGCACUCUGGAUGGACUGCCGGCGACAAGCCGGAGGAAGGUGGGGACGACGUCAAGUCAUCAUGGCCCUUAUGUCCAGGGCGACACACGUGCUACAAUGGCCGGCACAACGGGAAGCGAAGGGGCGACCCUGAGCGGAUCCCACAAAAGCCGGUCCCAGUUCGGAUUGCAGUCUGCAACUCGACUGCAUGAAGUUGGAAUCGCUAGUAAUCGUGGAUCAGCCAAGCCGCGGUGAAUACGUUCCCGGGCCUU
rnacentral:rRNA from 1 species